rnacentral:lncRNA from 1 species
AUGGCUUGGAAUCCAAGUCGUGGUCGUGGUGGUGGUGGCAACGUGACGGCAAACCGUGAGGAUGAAAUUAGAUUCCGUAGACAACUAGAAGCCCUUAGCUCUGAUGAAGAAUACAGUGAGCAGGAUGAUACACAGAGACCAAGCUUCCGAGGGCCAGUGGCUAUCCGUAGGCAUCAUCGGGGAAUAGGAUUCAGAAGUGGUGGUAGAGGAAGAAACGAUAAUUUUUUCAGACGAAGAUUUCCAGAAAAUCAUCCUUCAUUUCUUCUGAUGAGACAUGACAACAGUGAAGAUCGAUCAGGUUGGAAUGGAAACCAAUCUGAAGAGAGACAACCACAAAUAGAGGGAAAUCAAGUUUCCUUCAGGAGAUUUCAUGACCACUCCCAAUCUCGUGGUCGCCCCAUUAACAGAUCUCAUGGCCGACACUCCAGAUCUCCUAGCCCCUUCAGGAGAGCACCUGUCCACUCAGAUAGACCAUAUCAUGACCACUCAGAUAGACCCCAUCUUGACCACUUUGAUAGACCCAGGGGUGACCACUUAGAUAGACCCCGUCAUGACCACUUGGAUACACCUGAGGAUGAACUCUCAGAUGAACCCCAUCAUGACCAUGCAAAUAGACCAUAUUAUGACCACUCAGAUAGACCCCAUCUUGACCACUUUGAUAGACCCAGGGGUGACCACUUAGAUAGACCCCGUCAUGACCAUGUAGGUAGACCACAUCAUGACCACGCAGAUAGACUCCGUCAUGACCACUUGGAUAGACCUCAAGAUGAACACUUAGAUGGACCCCGUCAUGACCAUGCAAAUAGACCAUAUUAUGACCACUCAGAUAGACCCCGUCAUGACCAUGGAGCUAGACCAUAUCAUGACCAUACAGAUAGACCUCGUCAUGACCACUCAGAUAGAUUCCAUCUUGACCACUUGGAUAGACCCCAAGAUGACCACUUAGAUAGACCCCGUCAUGACCAUGUAGGUAGACCACAUCAUGACCACUUGGAUAGACCUGAGGAUGAACUCUCAGAUGGACCCCGUCAUGACCAUGCAAAUAGACCAUAUUAUGACCACUCAGAUAGACCCCGUCGUGACCACUUGGAUACACCUGAGGAUGAGCUCUCAGAUGAACCCCGUCAUGACCAUGCAAAUAGACCAUAUUAUGACCACUCAGAUAGACCCCGUCGUGACCACUUGGAUACACCUGAGGAUGAGCUCUCAGAUGAACCCCGUCAUGACCAUGCAAAUAGACCAUAUUAUGACCACUCAGAUAGACCCCGUCCAGCCUACUUGGAUAGACCUGAGGAUGAACACUCAGAUGGAUCCCAUCAUGACCAUGCAAAUAGACCAUAUUAUGACCACUCAGAUAGAUCUGAGGAUGAACUCUCAGAUGAGUCCCGUCAUGACCAUGCAAAUAGACCAUAUUAUGACCACUCAGAUAGACCCCGUCAUGACCACUUGGAUACACCUGAGGAUGAACUCUCAGAUGAACCCCAUCAUGACCAUGCAAAUAGACCAUAUUAUGACCACUCAGAUAGACCCCGUCAUGACCACUUGGAUACACCUGAGGAUGAACUCUCAGAUGAACCCCAUCAUGACCAUGCAAAUAGACCAUAUUAUGACCACGCAGAUAGACCCCGUCAUGACCAGGCAAUUAGACCAUAUCAUGACCACUCAGGUAGACCCCGUCAUGACCACUUGGAUAGACCUGAGGAUGAACUCUCAGAUAGACCCCGUCAUGACCAUGCAAAUAGACCAUAUUAUGACCACUCAGAUAGACCCCGUCAUGACCACUUGGAUACACCUGAGGAUGAACUCUCAGAUGAACCCCAUCAUGACCAUGCAAAUAGACCAUAUUAUGACCACUCAGAUAGACCCCGUCAUGAUCAGGCAAGUAGACCAUAUCAUGACCACUCAGAUAGACCCCGUCAUGACCAGGCAGGUAGACCAUAUCAUGACCACUCAGAUAGACCCCAUCUUGACCGCUUGGAUAGACUCCAAAAUGACCACUCAGAUAGACCCCGUCAUGACCAUGCAGGUAGACCACAUCAUGAAUACUCAGAUAGACCAUAUCAUGACCACUCAGAUAGACCCCGUCAUGACCAUGCAGGUAGACCACAUCAUGACCACUCAGAUAGACCUUAUCAUGACAAUUUAGAUAGACCACAUCAUGACCACUCAGAUAGACCCCGUCUUGGCCACAUGGGAAGAGCUCGUCUUAGCCGUGCAGGGCUAGCUCGCCGUGGCCAGAGAGGGAGAGAUCAUCUUAAUCACACAGGGCUGGCUCUUCCCAACCAUGCAGAGAGAGCUCAUCUAAGCCACACAGAGCUAGCUCAUAGUGGUCACAGAGGAAGAGCUCGUCGUGGCCAAAGAGGGAGAGCUCGUCCCAACCGUACAGGGCUAGUUCGUAACAGCCAUGCUGGGAGAGCUAAUAAUGACCACUUAGGGAGACUUCAUCCUGGCCAUGUAAGGAGAGCUCAUAACAACCGUACAUGGAGAUCUCGAAGUCUUGAAGAGAGAUAUCGUGGUCAAAGAGAAAGAUUUGGAAGAAUCCAAACAUCACCGGAAUCUGACCCUGAAAUUGACAGAACUUCUACAAUAAGAGAACAGACUGAAUACUUAUUUGAUCAGGAACGGCACAGAAAUGAGCUAAUUAAUCUGAAUGGAGGGCUGAUAGAAGAAGGCUACAGCUCUGAUCAAAGUGACGAAAGUUCUGACAGGUUCAGUUACAUGGUUCAGACUGUUCACCGAUCAGAUCAUUUAUUCCCUGACGAGUGUGUGUUUGGCAGGGUCCCAAGGCCUGUGAGGCUGGAGCGUGAGGAGGCUGCAGGAGAGGCUACUGUGUUUCCUGAGCACAUGCAGCUCCCACAUUUAACCCUCGGAAUUGGAUAGUCCCUUGCAGAGUACACUGAACUUGGAAGAUUUCCCCCCAUACACUCUGCAUCCGUCAAAACGCUCCAAGGCUUUUCUUUAUGGUCCCAGUCCGGUUGAACUUUGACUAGUUUCUACACAGACAUAGUCCACUUUAAGCACUUAAACAGAAGACUGUCAUGAAAUAUGUUUUCAUCUUAUACCUAACUAGGAGACAAGCGCCAAAUACAAAGAGUUUUCAAUGUUUUUCCCUAGUAGACACAAACCUCUACUUCCUAGACAGAUGUACAGUUUAAUAAACUAAUGCUAGGGUUUAUGGAAGGCCUGGGUAAAAAGCUAGAAUUAACAGAAAUUAAUGGUUUUGCUGUUUUGAAGAAAACCUGAAUAGCAAAGAGGCUAAUUCUUCAAAAUACCCAAAUGAACUAGAAAAUAGAUUAAAGCUUUGGAGCUGGAAAUGUAGCUCCAAUGGCAGAGUGUUUGGAGCUGGGACCGUAGCUCCAAUGGCAGAGUGUUUGUAUUUCAUGAGCACCGCUCUGGGUUUGAUCCCCAAUAUUACAUAAAGUAAGCACGGUUGUGCACACGUCUAUUCCACACUUGUAUUCCCAACACUCAACAUGUCAGAGGAUCAGAAGUUAAAGGUCAUUCUUGGCUACAUAGCCAGUCGCAGGCCAGCAUGGGCUACAUAUGACCCUAUCUCCAAACAAAUAAAGUGAUUGGCUUUGGAGACAGCACUAUGAAGAUAGUGGAAAUUUACGUGCUCUGGUAUGGUUUAGAAAAGUAAAUCCUGGAAACCCACAGGAACAGUUGGCCUGAACAAGGGAGAGCACAUCGACCCCAGAUGCUGUCUGGGAGGCCAGUACAAGACUGAUCCAGCCCCCUGAACAUGGAUGUCAAUAAGGAGGCCUCUGCACUCCAGGGAGCCUCUGGUAGUGGAUUAGUAUUUUUCCCUGGUGUAAGAAGGGACUUUGAGAGCCCAUCCCAUGUGAAGGG